AUGGAGGCGAUGCUGGAAAAAUUUCAUCUAAACAUGAGAAGUAUUUAAUGGAGAUGGAAGAGCUUUUCUCUCAGGUGGAUGAGAAAAGAAAAGUGAAAGCGAGAAAUCCCAGAUUACCUUUGUGGAAAGAUCAGCUUUGAGCUGAUGCGGGAGCCGUGCAUCACACCCA